GGUGAGUACGCGCGGUAACCUGCCUUUGAAUCUGGGAUAACCCCGUAGAAAACGGGACUAAUACUGGAUAAUGUCCCUUUGGCUGUGGCCUUAGGGAUGAAAGGUGAUCUCUUCAUGAAAGUUGCCGUUCAAAGAGGGGCCCGCGUACCAUUAGCUAGUAGGCGGGGUAACGGCCCACCUAGGCAACGAUGGUUAGCGGGUCUGAGAGGAUGAUCCGCCACACUGGAACUGGAACACGGACCAG
rnacentral:rRNA from 1 species